rnacentral:misc_RNA from 1 species
UUGUGGAGGAGGACGCCGAAGGUGGGGCUAAUGACUGGGGUGAAGUCGUAACAAGGUAGCCGUACCGGAAGGUGCGGCUGGAUCACCUCCUAACAGGGAGACAACAAAAUGUUUAAUAUUAUUAUUUUGUCACCUUAGGUCGAUCGGUAUCUCACGUUUUUUAAUUUAUUAAGAAUUUCAUUUCCUAAGUUUUUCUAGGUCACACCCAUUAUUUUUCCUGGGCCAUUAGCUCAGGUGGUUAGAGCGCACCCCUGAUAAGGGUGAGGUCCCUGGUUCAAGUCCAGGAUGGCCCAUAUCUCUAUGUUGGGGGUAUAGCUCAGUUGGUAGAGCGCCUGCUUUGCAAGCAGGAUGUCAGCGGUUCGAGUCCGCUUACCUCCACUGAUUACCACCUCUUCCAUAACCGGUAGAAAGGAAAUGUUUUGAGUUGUGAUCAAAUUCUGAAAGAAUCUAGCUUCCUAAUGAAAUCAUUAAGAUGCUGGACUCAUUGAAUUAAUUUCAUUGUUUUCAGAGAACCUUGACAACUGCAUAGAUUAUUUUUAAAGACAAUAAGCAUCUUUAAUGAUGCAGAUUUAUUAUUUUUGCGAAUGCAUUAAUAACAAUUCUAUUAAGCUGAUGCUUCAAUUUUGAAGUUAUUGGUCAAGCUACAA